rnacentral:rRNA from 1 species
GGGCGGCCGAUGUCCGAUUAGCUUGUUGGUGGGGUAAUGGCCCACCAAGGCGACGAUCGGUAGCUGGUCUGAGAGGAUGAUCAGCCACACUGGGACUGAGACACGGCCCAGACUCCUACGGGAGGCAGCAGUGGGGAAUUUUGGACAAUGGGGGCAACCCUGAUCCAGCCAUGCCGCGUGCGGGAAGAAGGCCUUCGGGUUGUAAACCGCUUUUAGCCGGGACGAAAGCUCUACGGAUAACACCCGUAGGGGUUGACGGUACCGGCGGAAUAAGCACCGGCUAACUACGUGCCAGCAGCCGCGGUAAUACGUAGGGUGCGAGCGCUAAUCGGAAUUACUGGGCGUAAAGCGUGCGCAGGCGGUUCGUUGUGUCGGCGGUGAAAGCCCCGGGCUCAACCUGGGAAUGGCCGUUGAAACUGGCGGACUGGAGUGUGGCAGAGGGGGGUGGAAUUCCGCGUGUAGCAGUGAAAUGCGUAGAGAUGCGGAGG